UACGUAGGGUGCGAGCGUUGUCCGGAAUUAUUGGGCGUAAAGAGCUCGUAGGCGGCUUGUCGCGUCGGAUGUGAAAGCCCGGGGCUUAACUCCGGGUCUGCAUUCGAUACGGGCAGGCUAGAGUUCGGUGGGGGAGAUCGGAAUUCCUGGUGUAGCGGUGAAAUGCGCAGAUAUCAGGAGGAACACCGGUAGCGAAGGCGGAUCUCUGGGCCGAUACUGACGCUGAGGAGCGAAAGCGUGGGGAGCGAACAGG
rnacentral:rRNA from 1 species